rnacentral:lncRNA from 1 species
CAUAAAUAUCCAGUCUCUAUGAGUAUCCACUCGAGAUCAGCUUGGAGCAAUCUUCUAUAAUCUGAAUUUUGAUUCUUCAAAAUUCAGCCUGCUGAAUCUGAAUGAAGCCUGGAUCGCGAUCAACACUUGAUCUUUCUCCUUGAUCUUCUUUUUUUUUCUCUAGAGUUUCUCCUUGCUAUGUCCUGCUAUCAGAUGCUAAAAACC